GCCUAACACAUGCAAGUCGAACGGUAACAGAAAGCAGCUUGCUGCUUUGCUGACGAGUGGCGGACGGGUGAGUAAUGUCUGGGAAACUGCCCGAUGGAGGGGGAUAACUACUGGAAACGGUAGCUAAUACCGCAUAACGUCGCAAGACCAAAGAGGGGGACCUUCGGGCCUCUUGCCAUCGGAUGUGCCCAGAUGGGAUUAGCUAGUAGGUGGGGUAAAGGCUCACCUAGGCGACGAUCCCUAGCUGGUCUGAGAGGAUGACCAGCCACACUGGAACUGAGACACGGUCCAGACUCCUACGGGAGGCAGCAGUGGGGAAUAUUGCACAAUGGGCGCAAGCCUGAUGCAGCCAUGCCGCGUGUAUGAAGAAGGCCUUCGGGUUGUAAAGUACUUUCAGCGGGGAGGAAGGGAGUAAAGUUAAUACCUUUGCUCAUUGACGUUACCCGCAGAAGAAGCACCGGCUAACUCCGUGCCAGCAGCCGCGGUAAUACGGAGGGUGCAAGCGUUAAUCGGAAUUACUGGGCGUAAAGCGCACGCAGGCGGUUUGUUAAGUCAGAUGUGAAAUCCCCGGGCUCAACCUGGGAACUGCAUCUGAUACUGGCAAGCUUGAGUCUCGUAGAGGGGGGUAGAAUUCCAGGUGUACCGGUGAAAUGCGUAGAGAUCUGGAGGAAUACCGGUGGCGAAGGCGGCCCCCUGGACGAAGACUGACGCUCAGGUGCGAAAGCGUGGGGAGCAAACAGGAUUAGAUACCCUGGUAGUCCACGCCGUAAACGAUGUCGACUUGGAGGUUGUGCCCUUGAGGCGUGGCUUCCGGAGUUAACGCGUUAAGUCGACCGCCUGGGGAGUACGGCCACAAGGUUAAAACUCAAAUGAAUUGACGGGGGCCCGCACAAGCGGUGGGGCAUGUGGUUUAAUUCGAUGCAACGCGAAGAACCUUACCUGGUCUUGACAUCCACGGAAGUUUUCAGAGAUGAGAAUGUGCCUUCGGGAACCGUGAGACAGGUGCUGCAUGGCUGUCGUCAGCUCGUGUUGUGAAAUGUUGGGUUAAGUCCCGCAACGAGCGCAACCCUUAUCCUUUGUUGCCAGCGGUCCGGCCGGGAACUCAAAGGAGACUGCCAGUGAUAAACUGGAGGAAGGUGGGGAUGACGUCAAGUCAUCAUGGCCCUUACGACCAGGGCUACACACGUGCUACAAUGGCGCAUACAAAGAGAAGCGACCUCGCGAGAGCAAGCGGACCUCAUAAAGUGCGUCGUAGUCCGGAUUGGAGUCUGCAACUCGACUCCAUGAAGUCGGAAUCGCUAGUAAUCGUGGAUCAGAAUGCCACGGUGAAUACGUUCCCGGGCCUUGUACACACCGCCCGUCACACCAUGGGAGUGGGUUGCAAAAGAAGUAGGUAGCUUAACCUUCGGGAGGGCGCUUACCACUUUGUGAUUCAUGACUGGGGUGAA
rnacentral:rRNA from 1 species